CAAUAGCGUAUAUUAAAGUUGUUGCAGUUAAAAAGCUCGUAGUCGGAUUUCGGGUCGGGCCGAGCGGUCUGCCGAUGGGUAUGCACUGUUUGGCGCGGCCUUCUUUCCGGAGACCGCGGCUACUCUUAACUGAGCGGGCGUGGGAGACGGAUCGUUUACUUUGAAAAAUCAGAGUGUUUCUAGCAGGCAGCUCGCUCUUGCAUAGGUUAGCAUGGGAUAAUUUAAUAGGACUCUGGUGCUAUUUUGUUGGUUCGAGGGACUGGAGUAAUGAUUAAUAGGGAUAGUUGGGGGCAUUAGUAUUUAUUAGCUAGAGGUGGAAUUCUCUAAUUUGAUAAAGACUAACUUAUGCGAAAGCAUUUGCCAAGGAUGUUUUCAUUAAUCAAGAACGAAAGUUAGGGGAUCAAAGAUGAUCAGAUACCGU
rnacentral:rRNA from 1 species